UACGUAGGGUGCAAGCGUUAAUCGGAAUUACUGGGCGUAAAGCGUGCGCAGGCGGUUGUGCAAGACAGAUGUGAAAUCCCCGGGCUUAACCUGGGAAUGGCAUUUGUGACUGCACGGCUAGAGUGUGUCAGAGGGGGGUAGAAUUCCACGUGUAGCAGUGAAAUGCGUAGAUAUGUGGAGGAAUACCGGUGGCGAAGGCAAUCCCCUGGACCUGUACUGACGCUCAUGCACGAAAGCGUGGGGAGCAAACAGG
rnacentral:rRNA from 1 species